rnacentral:rRNA from 1 species
UAGGGAAUAUUGGACAAUGGGUGAGAGCCUGAUCCAGCCAUGCCGCGUGCAGGAAGAAGGCGUUAUGCGUUGUAAACUGCUUUUGCCAGGGGAUAAAAAGACCGUGCGCGGUUAAUUGAAGGUACCUGGUGAAUAAGCCACGGCUAACUACGUGCCAGCAGCCGCGGUAAUACGUAGGUGGCAAGCGUUGUCCGGAUUUAUUGGGUUUAAAGGGUGCGUAGGUGGCCCUGUAAGUCAGUGGUGAAAUAUCUCAGCUUAACUGAGAGGGUGCCAUUGAUACUGCAGGGCUUGAGUACAGAUGAGGUAGGCGGAAUUGACGGUGUAGCGGUGAAAUGCAUAGAUAUCGUCAAGAACACCGAUAGCGAAGGCAGCUUACCAAGCUGUAACUGACACUGAGGCACGAAAGUGUGGGGAUCAAACAGGAUUAGAUACCCGAGUAGUCCCUGAGCGGGCUGGCAAGGCGCAU